rnacentral:rRNA from 1 species
UACGGGGGGGGCAAGCGUUGUUCGGAAUUACUGGGCGUAAAGGGCUCGUAGGCGGCCAACUAAGUCAUACGUGAAAUCCCUCGGCUUAACCGGGGAACUGCGUCCGAUACUGGCAGGCUUGAAUCCGGGAGAGGGAUGCGGAAUUCCAGGUGUAGCGGUGAAAUGCGUAGAUAUCUGGAGGAACACCGGUGGCGAAGGCGGCAUCCUGGACCGGCAUUGACGCUGAGGCGCGAAAGCGUGGGGAGCAAACAGG